GCUGGGUGCAGUGGCGCACACCUGUAAUCCUAGUGGCUUGGGAGCCUGAGGCAGGAGGAUCGUGAGUUCAGAGCCAAAAAAGCAAGGCACUUAAGCAACUCAGUGAGACCCUGUCUCUA
rnacentral:sRNA from 1 species